GAUGAACGCUAGCGGCAGGCCUAAUACAUGCAAGUCGAGGGGCAGCGCGGUAGCAAUACUGGCGGCGACCGGCGCACGGGUGCGUAACACGUAUGCAACCUACCUUCAACUGGAGGAUAGCCCGGGGAAACUCGGAUUAAUACUCCAUAACACAGGGAUCCCGCAUGGGAAUAUUGUUAAAGCUACGGCGGUUGAAGAUGGGCAUGCGUUCGAUUAGCUAGUUGGUGUAGGUAACGGCUCACCAAGGCUACGAUCGAUAGGGGGUCUGAGAGGAUGAUCCCCCACACUGUACUGAGAUACGGACCAGACUCCUACGGGAGGCAGCAGUAGGGAAUAUUGGUCAAUGGGCGCAAGCCUGAACCAGUCAUG
rnacentral:rRNA from 1 species